rnacentral:rRNA from 1 species
UACGUAGGGGGCUAGCGUUGUCCGGAUUUAUUGGGCGUAAAGAGCGUGUAGGCGGCCAGGUAGGUCAGCUGUGAAAACUCGAGGCUCAACCUCGAGAUGUCGGCUGAAACCAUCUGGCUAGAGUCCGGAAGAGGAGAAUGGAAGUUCCCGGUGUAGCGGUGAAAUGCGCAGAUAUCGGGAAGAACACCCGUGGCGAAGGCGGUUCUCUGGACAGUUCCUGACGCUGAGGCACGAAGGCCAGGGGAGCAAACGGG